GGGAAACGGCCGCAUCGGCCCGCUUCGUCACCGUCGGUUCCCGCAACCAAGCCUUUCUCUUAUUCUUUCUUUCAGAAGGGCUUGCGGUUCAUUACACCAAAGGCUUUCAGUGAACUAUUGAAGCUAUCGAGAGAGUACCAAAUGCUGACGGUGACGAAGGUUACCGACUUUCGGUGGACGCGGAGCCAACGAGUUCAGUCGAAGAGCGUAACGAGUCUAAGGUUACAGAAGCGUUCGCCAACUUUGAUAGGUAUAGCAUUGCGAGCAAAUAGAGAGCAGAGAGCUUACCCUUUCUUUCUAUGAGAGUCGCGAGCUUGUUGUAGUCGGUCCUAAAGAACCUUGCUGCUUACUUGCUAUAUUCCCGCGUUCUUGCACGGCUCGCGCGCAACCCCGCCCUGCUUCUCCC